GACGAACGCUGGCGGCGUGCUUAACACAUGCAAGUCGAACGGAAAGGCCCUGCUUUUGUUGGGUGCUCGAGUGGCGAACGGGUGAGUAACACGUGAGUAACCUGCCCUUGACUUUGGGAUAACUUCAGGAAACUGGGGCUAAUACCGGAUAGGAGCUCCUGCUGCAUGGUGGGGGUUGGAAAGUUUCGGCGGUUGGGGAUGGACUCGCGGCUUAUCAGCUUGUUGGUGGGGUAGUGGCUUAACCAGGCUUUGACGGGUAGCCGGCCUGCGAGGGUGACCGGCGACACUGGGCCUGCGAUACGGCGCAGACGCCUACGGGAGGCAGCAGUGGGGAAUAUUGCACAAUGGGCGGGAGCCUGAUGCAACAACGCCGCGUGCGUGAUGCCUGCCUUCGGUUUGUAAACCGCUUUCGCAUGUGACGAAGCGUGAGUGACGGUAAUGGGUAAAGAAGCACCGGCUAACUACGUG
rnacentral:rRNA from 1 species